AGUGAACGCUGGCGGCAGGCCUAAUACAUGCAAGUCGAACGGCAGCACAGCAGAGCUUGCUCUGUGGGUGGCGAGUGGCGGACGGGUGAGGAAUACAUGGGAAUCUGCCCAGUCGUGGGGGAUAACGUAUGGAAACGUACGCUAAUACCGCAUGCGCCCUACGGGGGAAAGCCGGGGACCGCAAGGCCUGGCGCGAUUGGAUGAGCCCAUGUUCGAUUAGCUAGUUGGCGGGGUAAAGGCCCACCAAGGCGACGAUCGAUAGCUGGUCUGAGAGGAUGAUCAGCCACACUGGAACUGAGACACGGUCCAGACUCCUACGGGAGGCAGCAGUAGGGAAUAUUGGACAAUGGGGGCAACCCUGAUCCAGCCAUGCCGCGUGAGUGAAGAAGGCCCUCGGGUUGUAAAGCUCUUUUGUCCGGAAAGAAAGCAAUCGGUUAAUACCCGGUUGUUCUGACGGUACCGGAAGAAUAAGCACCGGCUAACUUCGUGCCAG
rnacentral:rRNA from 1 species